CAAUAAACCCCCAUAUGAACACUUUAGGGCAGGGGUGGCCAACCUGUGGCUCUUGAGCCACAUGCGGCUCUUUGCUUCUUUAAGUGAGGCUCUAGCUGUUAAGCCAGGAAGCAGUCAGGCUGGCUCACUCUCCAACCCAUGCUCAUAUCUGUUUUCCUGAUCGGGCAUUGUUACUACUUUGCAGCUCCAGCUCACUCUCCACUACAUCCUGAUGCACACAGUGUGAGAACGUAGUAUGUGGAGACACGCACUAUGACCUGACGUUGUGCUCAUCAGUUCA